CCUACGGGUGGCAGCAGUGAGGAAUAUUGGUCAAUGGACGAGAGUCUGAACCAGCCAAGUAGCGUGAAGGAUGACUGCCCUAUGGGUUGUAAACUUCUUUUAUAUGGGAAUAAAAUGUUCCACGUGUGGGAUUUUGUAUGUACCAUAUGAAUAAGGAUCGGCUAACUCCGUGCCAGCAGCAGCGGUAAUACGGAGGAUCCGAGGGUUAUCCGGAUUUAUUGGGUUUAAAGGGAGAGUAGGUGGAUUGUUAAGUCAGUUGUGAAAGUUUGCGGCUCAACCGUAAAAUUGCAGUUGAAACUGGCAGUCUUGAGUACAGUAGAGGUGGGCGGAAUUCGUGGUGUAGCGGUGAAAUGCUUAGAUAUCACGAAGAACUCCGAUUGCGAAGGCAGUUCACUGGACUGCAACUGACACUGAGGCUCGAAAGUGUGGGUAUCAAACAGGAUUAGAUACCCUGGUAGUC
rnacentral:rRNA from 1 species